AACUUUCAACAACGGAUCUCUUGGUUCUCGCAUCGAUGAAGAACGCAGCGAAAUGCGAUAAGUAGUGUGAAUUGCAGAAUUCAGUGAAUCAUCGAAUCUUUGAACGCACAUUGCGCCCUCUGGUAUUCCGGGGGGCAUGCCUGUUCGAGCGUCGUC
rnacentral:rRNA from 1 species